rnacentral:lncRNA from 1 species
CUUUCAACAUGCGCCCCCUCUCUUCCUCCACAACAGCAGAGAUAUCUUCCGGUCAUCUUCGUCGAUGUGAGAUCUUCACCACUUCGGCAUCAUCACCGCCUUAAUGUACCGCCUGCGUCUGCCUUCUUGUCAUCCACCAUAUCAGCUGCCGCGGUUCGUUCAUCCUCUAGGGCGGGGAUCUCCAUCUUCCCAGACAACACAGAAAGAGCCGGUGUUUUUUUUGUGAUGGGAGCGAUGAGAUGUACGGGUAAUUUGAAAAGUAUGGAGAAUUUUGAUUAUUUCGUGUCUUGUGUUUUUUUUUUCGAUGGGAUCGACGAGAUAUACGGGUAAUUUGAAAAGUAUGGAGAAUUUUUAUUAUUUCUUAUUCAAUUUUUUUUACUUGAUUUUCGGAGGCUUUCAAAUUUAAUUGAAUUUUUUUUUUCAAUAAAUGGGAAUGCACAGUUUUUAAUAAUAAUUUAAUUUAAUAUCGUAUUUCCUUCCAUUCGAAUGAAAUCUCAUGUUCUGUUCGUUGGAGAGAAUGUUUAGUCAGUUUCAUAUGUUAGUAAGUUUUAUAUGUUUAUUUCUCUUUCUAACUUUGUGUAAUGGGUUUGGAUGAGAUUGUAGUAAAUUUAAAAUUCUUGAUUUGUAAAUCGAUUUUGUUUUGAAUGAAUUAAAUUUACACGUUGUUGUCUUCUUUUUGUUUGGUUCAUGUUUUUGCACAAACGGAGUGAUGGCAACAAGUAGGACGAGGUUGGGUGAUGCUCGGGUGACUCUAUUAUUGUCUGCAAUGACAUUGUUUAUUAAAAGGGAUUUUUUUUUUUUUUUUUUUUUUAGGCAAGUUUUUUAUGGGUUUUCUCUUUGUAAAGGGAUCUUAUGUAGUGGAUUUCUAUAUUUUUGUAGUGGUUUUUGAUGAACUUGUAGUGGAUUUCAGUUAAAAUAUACCUGCUCUAGGCGCGAGGAAUAGAGGAAGGGGUGUCGAUGCGCUUACGGUAAAUAGUGGUUUUAGUAAAUAGUGGUUUUCGACAUUAAAGAGUGGAUUACGUUAGAGGGAUGGGGUUGACAACGCGUACAGUGUAUAGUGGAUUUCAAAUUUAGGCAGUGAAUAGUGGAUUCAACUUUAGACCGUGAAUAGUGGAUAGUGGUUUUUCGAAUUCUUACGCGACAUUAAAUAGUGG